rnacentral:rRNA from 1 species
UGAGGGUCCUAAAGGGUUGUUCGAGACUAGAACGUUGAUAGGCAGGGUGUGUAAGCGUUGUGAGGCGUUGAGCUAACCUGUACUAAUUGCCCGUGAGGCUUAACCAUACAACACCCAAAGGGUUUUG